rnacentral:lncRNA from 1 species
GGGAUUUGGAGUACUUUGGCAAUUCAGCUGUUGCAACAGUCAUGUGAAGCUGCAAAUACUGUCUGCUGGUACUGCUAAUUGCAUGUUGAACUCUAAAAAAAAACCAAACCAUAUAUUGUCUGGCACAGAUUCGCAGGACUCUUAAACUACUUCAUUUCUUUUCUGUCUUUGUCCUAGAAAACUAUUGUGAGUGCUGCUCAUCUUCUUGUACCAUGUGGACAUAGGUGGAAAAGCCUGUUUUUAUAAAUCUUUUCAACAUGUCACAGAACUGAAACACUGAAUCUUGCGCUUUGGGGAACCUGGUGACACCUCAGUUUCAGGAAUCAGUUUAGGAAUCUCCUAGGCUGCUUCAGCUGCUGGCAGUGUCUCCUUGGCUCCAUUCCUAUAGGAACUUACGUGCUUUCAGCUGGAAUAAUGAGAGAGGAGGAUGAAAAUUGCUGGUAUAUAUCAUAAAAUAUAUGAGGUAAAUCACCUGAUAAGAGUGUGGCAUUCAUAAAUUCCAGACCUCGUUCACCUGUGUAUGGAUUUCAGAACUGCUCUAAGUGUAUUAAUCAAAGAUGUUUACAAAAU